rnacentral:sRNA from 1 species
GCAGUAGGCCUCCACCAGCUUGUGCUGGAUGCUGAUGAGAACAUCGUCCGACUUGUUCUCCAGCAGAAGACAAAGGGCCACGCUGUCUGCUUCCUCGCCCAGGAAUUCGGCGCUAGGCAUGGCUCCCAGAACCAGCCUUUUGUCUGUUGCAGCCAUGUCGACUACGUCUUUGACAGCCUCUGCUACUUGGCUCAUGUAACAUCUGCAAAACGAACAAAGAACACGUGAGCUUACUGUAGAUCGUUAGGUAACGAAACCUCAGAAAUUCUCAGGUAAACUGAAGGAAAAAAAAAUAAAUGCAGGUCGUAAAAGAUGCUUACCUGUCUUCAUGAGCCAUUUUUGAAGCAAGUAAAUCCGUAACAGUCAUGAUUGAAAUUAAAUCCUUUGUGUUAAGUGAUAAAAUCCACAGAGCAAUACAGUACACUUCCGCACUAUCGAGUCUCGUCUGAACAUGUGUUUCAUACAAUGCAAGCCUCGCUUUAUAUACCGUCGGCGAAAAGUGGGCGGAGCUAACGGGUUUCUACGCUUUGUGAUCCACUGGUUGUUGACCUGAAUUGAUCCCGCUCGGAAGAAAAUGCCCAUCGGAGUAAAUGAACCUGGAAGAUCGCAGGUUAUUGACUUAUUCUCAACAAAAUUUUGUCAUAAAGAAAAUCUAAUGAUGAUAAUGGUGUUCCAGUAACCCACAAGUCACUGCUCUUUCCAGAUCGUUAUGCGGACCACUGGAACAAUGAGCAGCAUUUAUCAAUCGUUAAAAGGACUUUGCCACUUAGGUCAUGAUGCAUAAAGAGAAAAGGUCCAAGCCAAUUCCUUCGCUCUUGAAGAAUUGGUACUUUGUACUGAUAAAAUGAAUUGAUAUGAACGUUAUUUUUUUCAACAAUAUGAAAAGUAAUGAUAACGGACCUUGACUAUAGUCUAUAGUAUUUUGGCCUUGGGUGUGAAGUGUGAAGAGUGCAUCGAAGUAACAGUGCAGAAAUGUCUCAUCUAACCAACUCCCCGUAGAAAAUAUAUCAAAUGUUGAACGUGAACAAUGGCUUAAAGAAAUAUGAUUGAUCAGCUCUCUGGUGAAUAUGAUUAACCUUACACAACAGUCGAGGUCAGAUCGGUAUACACAGAUGAUGAAGACUACCGGUAGCUUAUUAAUAUAUGUGUCAUGUAUAAUUGGAUGAUUCAAAGACAAGAACCGCUGCAGAGCACUACUAGUGCUUUGUUUUACCCAUCUCAUAUUGCCAUAGAUAAUCUGACAAACUGAUCUGCAUAUCAUUAUGGCAAAAGUCAUCGGCCAAAUGGCUGUAUCUGAAGGACUCAGAUUCCCAAUCAAGCCAGGAGGAUCGUUGGGAAAAUUCAGCACGACAAAGAGAAAAAAAUGACCCUCUGGAUCGUAGAAUCCGAUUAACGGGACACAUUACUGUUAUGUUUUGCCACCAAUUCAAGGUCAUUUUGUUUUCUCGAUCCAUGACCAGAUCAACUUUGUGCUUUUAUAAAACAGAGAAUGUUUACCUAUUUAUGUUGUCGCCAAUGCUUGUACAUGUAUCAUUCCAGUGAAAUCUGGAUUCCUAUCUAUGCAUGAUUACAAAUACCAAGGAUGGCGGAUCAAUUAUCACCUCAGAAGCAAUCGCAAAUACAUGUAGUAAACAUGAUUAGACACUUUUAGUAGAAAAUGUUAUGAAACUAAAAAU